UACGAAGGGGGGCUAGCGUUGCUCGGAAUCACUGGGCGUAAAGGGUGCGUAGGCGGGUCUUUAAGUCAGGGGUGAAAUCCUGGAGCUCAACUCCAGAACUGCCUUUGAUACUGAAGAUCUUGAGUUCGGGAGAGGUGAGUGGAACUGCGAGUGUAGAGGUGAAAAUUCGUAGAUAUUCGCAAGAACACCAGUGGCGAAGGCGGCUCACUGGCCCGAUACUGACGCUGAGGCACGAAAGCGUGGGGAGCAAACAGGG
rnacentral:rRNA from 1 species